GAACAGCUCAGUAACUCUUAUUUUAUUUGAUGUAUUAGGAUUAUAACUAUGUUAAAUUAUAGAUAACAAUAAUACAAUAAGAAUAAGAUCUAUCAGUUAGUUGUUAAGGUAAUGGCUUAACAAGACUAUGACGGAUAACGGUAUUACUUUGUAAUAUUCCGGAGAAGGAGCCUGAGAGAUUGCUACUAAGUCUAAGGAUUGCAGCAGGGGCGAAACUUGACCUAUGAUAUGAUAUUGAGGCAGUUAUGAGUAGUAUUUUUAAUUAUUGUAGUAUUGUAAGUAUAUACUACAAGAUAAAUCGGAGGGCAAAUCGAGUGCCAGCAGCCGCGGUAAUACUUGUUCCGAUAGUGUGUAUGAUGAUUGAUGCAGUUAAAAAGUCUGUAGUUUAUUAUUAAUAAGCAUUGUGAGGUAUAUUGUAUGGUUAGGAGAGAGAUGAAAUGUGAUAACCCUAACUGGAUGAACAGAAGCGAAAGCUAUAUACUUAAAUGUUUUAUUAGAACAAGGACGUAAGCUAGAGGAUCGAAGAUGAUUAGAUACCAUUGUAGUUCUAGCAGUAAACUAUGUUAAAUCAUAGAUACAUUAUUAAUAUGUAUUUAUGUAAAGAAAUUAAGAUUAUAUUGACUCUGGGGAUAGUAUGAUCGCAAGAUUGAAAAUUAAAGAAAUUGACGGAAGAAUACCACAAGGAGUGGA
rnacentral:rRNA from 1 species